UGGGGAAUAUUGGACAAUGGGCGAAAGCCUGAUCCAGCCAUGCCGCGUGUGUGAAGAAGGCCUUUUGGUUGUAAAGCACUUUAAGCGAGGAGGAGGCUACUUAGAUUAAUACUCUAGGAUAGUGGCCGUUACUCGCAGAAUAAGCACCGGCUAACUCUGUGCCAGCAGCCGCGGUAAUACAGAGGGUGCGAGCGUUAAUCGGAUUUACUGGGCGUAAAGCGUGCGUAGGCGGCUUUUUAAGUCGGAUGUGAAAUCCCUGAGCUUAACUUAGGAAUUGCAUUCGAUACUGGGAAGCUAGAGUAUGGGAGAGGAUGGUAGAAUUCCAGGUGUAGCGGUGAAAUGCGUAGAGAUCUGGAGGAAUACCGAUGGCGAAGGCAGCCAUCUGGCCUAAUACUGACGCUGAGGUACGAAAGCAUGGGGAGCAAACAGG
rnacentral:rRNA from 1 species